rnacentral:rRNA from 1 species
UGGUCCUACGGGAGGCAGCAGUGAGGGAUAUUGGUCAAUGGGGGAAACCCUGAACCAGCAACGCCGCGUGAGGGAAGACGGUUUUCGGAUUGUAAACUCCUUUUGUUAGAGAAGAUAAUGACGGUAUCUAACGAAUAAGCACCGGCUAACUCCGUGCCAGCAGCCGCGGUAAUACGGAGGGUGCAAGCGUUACUCGGAAUCACUGGGCGUAAAGAGCGCGUAGGCGGGAUAGCAAGUCAGAUGUGAAAUCCUAUGGCUUAACCAUAGAACUGCAUUUGAAACUGUUAUUCUAGAGUAUGGGAGAG